GUGAGCAGGAAAGGUGGAGUUAAACUCACACUCCCUAGCUCUAGGCAAUAAACAAUGAAGUGAAAGCCUACACUCCUCCUUCACCCCUUGGGAGAUGUGACAUGGUGGCAAGAGCUUGGAGGUGCUGCAGCUAUUUUGUGACCACGAGGGGGAACCAACAAAGUAGCAGGGAAGCCAACCUAGAGCUCUGACUUAUUUUUUUCUUUUGAGAUGAAACUUUGCUUUUUUUCUCUGCCUGAUCUCAAACUCUUGGGCUCAAGCAAUCCUUCUGCCUCAGCCUCCUGAACAGCUAAAGUAACCAACUCUGAAACUUCUUCUCCAAGGAGUCUUGGGUCCUCUCUUCCCCACAGACAUGAACGAACCAGCUCUAUGACCACAUCUCCCAUAACCAGCCCCGGCCUGCAAAGGCAGCCACCACAGAGCUUCUUAGUGAUGUAUCAGCGCAUUCCUGAUGGACGGUGUGUUACUUGGUGUUCCAUUCUCCCAGUGAAACAUAAUUCUCUGUCAAUGGAAGCAUUUGAGAAAAAAACACCUUUCAAAGUGAAACUGUAUUAUGUUACUGGAACAUUUGUUAAAAAUCUAUUAACCUCUAAGAAGCCAAGAACAGAAAUUCAGCAAUAAAAGGUACUCUCAGAAACCACCUCUGGCCUGAAAAGGGGCCGACUGAAACAUAUACCUAUUUGAAGAUCCCUGGCACACAGAUACAGCAGAAGAAGCCCAAAUGUUUGGCUUUAUCUCCUGUAUCAACAAGGGACCUCAAACCCAAGACUUUCUUCUAAGAUUUAACGU
rnacentral:lncRNA from 1 species